GUGCCUAUAGUGUAAUGGUCAGCACGAAAGCUUGUGGAGCUUUCAGAUUGGGUUCGAAUCCCAAUAGGCACC
rnacentral:tRNA from 1 species